GCAGGAAAGCGGGUCAAUGUGUAGGGCUGGAGGGCAGGGGCGGGCCCUGGGCCUGGGCUGGGGGUCCUGCCCCGGGGCGCACCCAGGGCGAGGGCUGCCCGGAGGAGCCGAGGCUGGCGGACAGCUUGGCCCUGAGCUUGAGGGGAAGGCAGCGAUGGGACAAAGGACGGAGGUCUAGGAAGAGGGUCUGCAGAGCAGAAAGCACGGGUAGGGGCGGCCUGACGCUCGGAAGACAACGGAUGGGAGCCGUGUGCACGUCGGGAGCUCGGAGUGAGCGCACCAUGACUCCUGUGAGGAUGCAGCACUCCCUGGCAGGUCAGACCUAUGCCGUGCCCCUCAUCCAGCCAGACCUGCGGUGAGAGGAGGCCGUCCAGCAGAUGGCAGAUGCCCUGCAGUACCUGCAGAAGGUCUCUGGAGACAUCUUCAGCAGGUAGAGCAGAGCCGGAGCCAGGUGCAGGCCAUUGGAGAGAAGGUCUCCUUGGCCCAGGCCAAGAUUGAGAAGAUCAAGGGCAGCAAGAAGGCCAUCAAGGUGUUCUCCAGUGCCAAGUACCCUGCUCCAGAGCGCCUGCAGGAAUAUGGCUCCAUCUUCACGGGCGCCCAGGACCCUGGCCUGCAGAGACGCCCCCGCCACAGGAUCCAGAGCAAGCACCGCCCCCUGGACGAGCGGGCCCUGCAGGAGAAGCUGAAGGACUUUCCUGUGUGCGUGAGCACCAAGCCGGAGCCCGAGGACGAUGCAGAAGAGGGACUUGGGGGUCUUCCCAGCAACAUCAGCUCUGUCAGCUCCUUGCUGCUCUUCAACACCACCUAGAACCUGUACAAGAAGUAUGUCUUCCUGGACCCCCUGGCUGGUGCUGUAACAAAGACCCAUGUGAUGCUGGGGGCAGAGACAGAGGAGAAGCUGUUUGAUGCCCCCUUGUCCAUCAGCAAGAGAGAGCAGCUGGAACAGCAGGUCCCUGAGAACUACUUCUAUGUGCCAGACCUGGGCCAGGUGCCUGAGAUUGAUGUUCCAUCCUACCUGCCUGACCUGCCCGGCAUUGCCAACGACCUCAUGUACAUUGCCGACCUGGGCCCCGGCAUUGCCCCCUCUGCCCCUGGCACCAUUCCAGAACUGCCCACCUUCCACACUGAGGUAGCCGAGCCUCUCAAGACCUACAAGAUGGGGUACUAACACCACCCCCACCGCCCCCACCACCACCCCCAGCUCCUGAGGUGCUGGCCAGUGCACCCCCACUCCCACCCUCAACCGCGGCCCCUGUAGGCCAAGGCGCCAGGCAGGACGACAGCAGCAGCAGCGCGUCUCCUUCAGUCCAGGGAGCUCCCAGGGAAGUGGUCGACCCCUCCGGUGGCCGGGCCACUCUGCUAGAGUCCAUCCGCCAAGCUGGGGGCAUCGGCAAGGCCAAGCUGCGCAGCAUGAAGGAGCGAAAGCUGGAGAAGAAGAAGCAGAAGGAGCAGGAGCAAGUGAGAGCCACGAGCCAAGGUGGGCACUUGAUGUCGGAUCUCUUCAACAAGCUGGUCAUGAGGCGCAAGGGCAUCUCUGGGAAAGGACCUGGGGCUGGUGAGGGGCCCGGAGGAGCCUUUGCCCGUGUGUCAGACUCCAUCCCUCCUCUGCCGCCACCGCAGCAGCCACAGGCAGAGGAGGACGAGGAUGACUGGGAAUCCUAGGGGGCUCCAUGACACCUUCCCCCCCAGACCCAGACUUGGGCCGUUGCUCUGACAUGGACACAGCCAGGACAAGCUGCUCAGACCUGCUUCCCUGGGAGGGGGUGACGGAACCAGCACUGUGUGGAGACCAGCUUCAAGGAGCGGAAGGCUGGCUUGAGGCCACACAGCUGGGGCGGGGACUUCUGUCUGCCUGUACUUCAUGGGGGGACGGCUCCACCCAGCCUGCGCCACUGUGUUCUUCUCUUAAGAGGCUUCCAGAGAAAACGGCACACCAAUCAAUAAAGAACUGAGCAGAAA